GCUAUAUGCAGCAUGACUGUCUUGUGAUGCUGGGCAAUAGCAGUGGACUGUAGCACCCAGUCAGUCAUGUGCUCUGGAAGGAAAACAACCAACACUCUAUAAUUUACUAUACUGUUGAGUUAUGGUCUUCUGAAGUGCCUGGUAUCUAAAAGGUGUUCAAUUAAUAUGUAUUAACUAAUGAAAUCCACAAGAGCCACACAAAGAUGCAUGAUCUUGAAAGGCAGAAUUACAAGUGCACCCUCCUGCAGGCACAGCCAUGUGUUAAUAUAAGUUAAUGUUUACCCAGUGCUUCCUGUAUACCAUCAGGCACUGUGCUGAGCACUAGCAGGUCUUCUAUGCUCAAAUAUCGCCUUCUUGGAGAGGUCUUCUGGCCACACCAGCUAAAAUAGCCUUCCCCCUCAAUGAUCUUUUCACUUUGUUUUAUUUUUCUUUGGAGAAGAAAAUACAUCAUUCCUUGACAUACUUUGUUGUCUGCCUUGCGCAUUAUAUUGGUGGCUUCUUGGUAACAGAAAUUUAUGUCUGAUGUAUUCACUCCUCUAGCCCCAGCCUGGCACGUAGUAGGUACACAGAUAAGUGCUUGUUCAAUGAAUGGUGAACAAACCAGGAGGGUACAAGCCAUAACAGGAAGUGGUGGGGACUGGAUCUAGAGAAAAUAUGUCCCACUUCAGACCAUUCAUAUUCUUACACACACACACACACACACACACACACACACACACACACACUAUGUCUGCCAGUCAAAACAUUUCAGCUCUUGGUACCUGACUAUGUGCAUGUUAAGGGUGUUCAUAGUGUCAUUGUCCUGCAGCCAGACCAGGAAUGUGAAGAUUCCCUGAGUUGAACAAGUUGGAUUUGUUACUCUUUGCAGUGGGAAGGAAUGCAUACCAUGGAGAACCAUGUGGACAUCUCAGGAAGUGGGUGUUACAAAACAUGUAUGAGGAUUUGGGUUUGUGUUGGGUGUUUUGGGAGAGGAUUUAAGGAAAUGGUUUUGCUGUAAUUGACUCCUAGCCAGAAGUGGAUUUAAUUUUAUGAUUGGGCAUAGAGUGCAAUCUAUAGAGAUGCUAAAGGUGCAAUUGGUAAAGUAAGUACCAGCCACUCACAUUUGUCAGGACAGGGGAUGUUUGAUUAUUUUUUGUGGUUUGGACAGUGUUUCUGUAUGUGUUCGGACGUUGUUAUGGAGUGGUCUCAAUUUUGUCUUGAUCCAUCUUGCUCACAGAGUGACCCUGUCUGAUGUUGACAUCCCUGUAAAAUUGUUCCUAUUCAGUAGGAGGACAUCUGCAUGUGUGGUGACAACUACCAGGAGUCAAGAGCUGCUAUUCUUUUCCUGCACUGGUAUUACAAGACUACACAUCAGAAGGGUAGUCCCAGGCUGGGGGUGUAGCUCGGUGGUACAGCAUGUGCCUAGCAUGUUGAGACCCUCAGUUCCACCCCUAGCAUCAUAAAGCAAAUGAAAGUAGUGUCAGUUUCUCACACAAACACACAGAAUUUCAGUUUGGUAAGUGGUUUUCAUUGAGCAUGCAAUGAUCUUUGAUUAUUACAGAGGUGAUAAUAAUUGAAGGCAUGAUGUAACCGCUUGUCCAUUUGACUGGGUUAAGAGACUUCUAGCAAGGUGACUGGGUCAUGGAGCACUAUACUCAUGUGGAUUAAUUCACUGAUGUUCAUAGCUGAAUGUGCUGUUAUACAAGUGGGAUUCAGUUGGAUGUGGGUCACUGGGGGUGUGCUUUUGGGGGGUAAAUGUCACUGGUGCUUUUCCCCUGUGCUCUGCUUCCUCGAUGCUGUGGGUUGAGCAGCUUGCCUCCCCUGAGCCCUUCCACAAUGCCAUUUAUGCCUUCAAGUCAACUACACGUGGACUGAAACCUCUGAAACCAUAAGACAAAAAUCAACCCAUUUUCCUUAAGUUUUAGAUGUC